rnacentral:rRNA from 1 species
UGGGGAAUCUUCCGCAAUGGGCGAAAGCCUGACGGAGCAACGCCGCGUGAGGGACGAAGGCCUCUGGGUUGUAAACCUCUUUUCUCAAGGAAGAAGAUAUGACGGUACUUGAGGAAUAAGCCACGGCUAAUUCCGUGCCAGCAGCCGCGGUAAUACGGGAGUGGCAAGCGUUAUCCGGAAUUAUUGGGCGUAAAGCGUCCGCAGGCGGCUUUUCAAGUCUGCUGUUAAAGCGUGGAGCUUAACUCCAUCAUGGCAGUGGAAACUGAAAGGCUUGAGUAUGGUAGGGGCAGAGGGAAUUCCCGGUGUAGCGGUGAAAUGCGUAGAUAUCGGGAAGAACACCAGUGGCGAAGGCGCUCUGCUGGGCCAUUACUGACGCUCAUGGACGAAAGCCAGGGGAGCGAAAGGGAUUAGAUACCCCUGUAAGU